CGGCAUGCUUAACACAUGCAAGUCGAACGGUAACGCGGGGGCAACCCUGGCGACGAGUGGCGGACGGGUGAGGAAUGCUUGGGAAUCUGCCUGUUAGUGGGGGACAACCCGGGGAAACUCGGGCUAAUACCGCAUACGCUCUACGGAGGAAAGCGGGGGACCCUAAGGCCUCGCGCUAACAGAUGAGCCCAAGUCGGAUUAGCUAGUUGGUGGGGUAAAAGCCUACCAAGGCUACGAUCCGUAGCUGGUCUGAGAGGACGAUCAGCCACACUGGGACUGAGACACGGCCCAGACUCCUACGGGAGGCAGCAGUGGGGAAUAUUGGACAAUGGGGGAAACCCUGAUCCAGCAAUGCCGCGUGUGUGAAGAAGG
rnacentral:rRNA from 1 species